rnacentral:lncRNA from 1 species
AUGAGGAAACUAAAGUUUGGUGAGGCAAAGCAAGUUGCCCAAGAUCAACACCCAGGACAUGGGAGAGCAGGAUUGCAAUCUGGCCGGCUAGCCCUGGAGCCCACACUCCCGAAAACCACAGUUGGCUCUCUUGCUGCUAUCUCUGUUGGUCUUCCUGCUUCGUGUCCCUCCUUCAGGAGCCAAGCACUUCAGGCACUUGAGAUGAAGUGCAUUGCCGCCGCUGGGCUAGAAGAGUCUCCUGGGUGUCUUCCUGGUCACACACUUGAACUUUGAGAGCAGUAGUAACAGCCACCAGCCCCUUGCUAUGUGCUUCCUGUGGGCCAAUCUACGUGGACACUUACUUAACCCACCGUCUAUCUCAUGAGUAUUACCAUUGGUCCCACUUUAUGGAGGAGGCCCAGACUUGGGUAGGAACUUGCCCAAGGUUACAUAGCUGGUGAGUAGAGGAGUCGGGAUUCAGACUCUGAUCAUCCAGUUAAGACUCUGAGCUCUAACCCUUGACGAUGAGGUAGGUCAGACAACCAAGAGCCAGCCUCUGCAGAAAGGCAGGGCCACACCUGGGUCAUCUCGGCAGCCCCAGCAUUCUGCACUCAAUAAAUGUUUGUCAAACCAGCAAAUAAAUGACUGACUGAAUGAAUGAAUGAAGUGAAAACUAGAGAUGCGGCAGGGAACAACACAAUAAUACACUAAGGGGCUGCCACUUACUAUGUGCUUACUGUUUGCCAGAUGUAUCCAAUCUCCCCAACUCUGGAGGAGCUCACUAAAUAUUUGUUAAAAAAUGAGGAUAGUACUACUUGUCUCAGUACCCCCACGCCCCUUUGAGGUAAGGGAACUUAGACCCCGAGAGCUUCUGUGACUUAGCAGUGCAUCGCAGAUACACCCGCCAACAACUGCCACAGAACGAGCAACCUCAACAUCUCAAUGUUGCAAGAUAAUAAGCAUUUCUUCUGCCCUCACCAGUCCAUGGGUUGGUUGCAGGGGCCUUCCUGUACAUGUCUCAUCCUUAGCCUGGGACAUCAGACCAGCCAGGGCACGUUCUCUCCAAGCAGGUGUAGGGGCACUCAAGCCCAUGGCAAAGCACACUUCAAGCUCCUGCUUGCAUCACAUCUGCCAACUCCUACAUUGUGGGGAUGCACUAUUGCGCUCUCAAUUAAGGCUUUGGGCUCUUCAGGAGAAAAGAGACUCAUGCAUAUCAGCUCAACAGUAGUACGCAUUCCACUGAGACUGCUUUUGGGUACAAGUACCCAGAGAAUGGACCGCAUGGGGUUGUACCAGCGUUUACUAGGUGCUGUUCCAAUCUGCCUCCCUGCCCUGACUGGUGAACUCUCAGCUUCCUCCAUUCCCUGCCUCCUGGCAAGCAGAGGGGAAAGAUGAUCCCCGAUUGUAGAAAUCCAGGAGGCGUGGCAAGGUGGCUUUUUGGCGGGCUCGUAAAUUGCCAAGUGGAUUAUGGAGGAUAGAUAAGCCGGAAGACGCCAGGCACAGCUUGGAUGUAUUUCAUUUCUGAUCACACCGGAAUGGAGCAAGAAUUAUGGACAAAGUGCAUAGACCCAAGCAGCCAUGCUUGAUCAUUUACACCCCUCGCUGUCAUUUUUAAUCUGCGGUGUCUGUUCUCUCCAACCCCGAAAACACCAAACCCGGCCUCUUGAAGAACCUCUUCACUCGAGUCUUUCUCAAUAUGUCGAGCCUUUCUCAAUAUUUGGCAUGGUUCCCAUGGGAGCUUCCCCACACUGUGACCCUGCUGUGGGGACUAAACACGAGAAUGAGUCUGGUGGAGGGGGCACUUGACAUCUGGUUUGUAAAUUAACAUCAACCACAUGUGCAUGUGCCCAUAUCCACACUCCUUUCUCCAAAGCCCCAUCACAUUUUAGAGAUAAAAAUGAGUUGGGAGCAUAAGCUUUUGGGUCAUGUGGAAUUGAACUGGAAUAUUAAUCCCAACACUUACAAAUGGUGGGAGUUUGGAGGGGACAUUUAAUCUCUUUCAGCCUCAGUAUCCUUAUUUGUAAAUGGGCUAAUGACAUCUACCUUAUGGAGUUGUUGGACAUGUGGGGUUGUGUCCAUGAUGAGAACAUGCAUCUGACACUUGGUAGAGUUCAUGGUACCUAGUUAAGACUUUAAGCAUGACAGUUAUUAUCAUGGUUAUUGUCCAGACACAAGAUGAUGGACCUGCUCCCUGAGGCCAACUGAGAUGCGUCCAGGCUUAGAUUCACAGAGUCCAUGACUGGACACAGGUUGGAUGGAUGGAUGGAUGGAUGGAUGGAUGGAUGGACAAGUGGAUGGUUAGUUUUGUGGAUGGAUAGGUAGAUAAAUGCACAGGUGAAGGGCCAGGUGGUACAAUAUCUGAAUAGGCUCUAUUUUGGGCAAGAGAACAUCAAAG